rnacentral:lncRNA from 11 species
UUAAAAUAUUCCCAUCCAAACCCAAGUCACGAAGGUGGAGGCAUUACUUUUCAUACAACCCUCGUAAUAACAGUAAUCUUGCCUGAGAAGCCAAUAUUGUGAAGAGGCCACCCUGUGAAGUAACACUAGUUUCCUUGACCUAAGAAAUAAAAUGAAUGAGCUGAGCUUUUCUUUCUUGAACAAGCUGAGAACAUACCUGGAGAAAUAUUAUCUUUUGCUCUCUCUAAACAACAAGGGACGGCAAUUCCGUCCACUCCUUGGAAUUGUGUCAUUUCCUGUAAUAUUCAUAACAUUGUUUGCUUGUUCCUCUAAGGAACGUGACCCUCUGAGAGAAGGCAGUUAAGAGAAGUGCCGUAAGAAAGAUGGGUGCAUUUCUCUUCCUGCUGCUGGCUGGGACUAUUCAGAGCAUAAGAGGAAGGAGCACCUUUGGCAUUUUCUAUUACGAUGAAAUUCAAGGGAAUCAUUCACUAUAUUACAGUGAGAGUGGCGAAUACUUUCCCUAUCAAGACUACUAUGACAUCAACAGCACCUACGACUAUUUCAACUAUUCUGGGUUUGAAGAGAUGCCAAAAAAAAAUGACACUGGGUCUGGUGAGCUUUUACUCCCAAGUUACUGCCUCUUUUUCUGUACUACUCUUCUCCAUGUUCUGCACUUUCUCCAGGAAGACCUCCGAAUGUGAUCUCAGAAG